rnacentral:rRNA from 1 species
UACGUAGGGGGCUAGCGUUGUCCGGAAUCAUUGGGCGUAAAGCGCGUGUAGGCGGUUCGGUAAGUCCGCUGUGAAAGUCGGGGGCUCAACCCUCGAAUGCCGGUGGAUACUGUCGGACUAGAGUACGGAAGAGGCGAGUGGAGUUCCUGGUGUAGCGGUGAAAUGCGCAGAUAUCAGGAGGAACACCAAUUGCGAAGGCAGCUCGCUGGGACGUUACUGACGCUGAGACGCGAAAGCGUGGGGAGCAAGCAGG